AAAUCGGAGCGGACCCCCCACUGAAAUUUAACGAUCCCAAAUAAUAGAGGGCAUUGAAUGAUAAACACCAAACAAGAAAAUCAUCCAAAAUAAUACCGUUAACCCCACACUGGUGUACUUCAAGGGAAAGACCAAAAGGAAAAGAAGGAACUCGGCAAAUACCCCAAAGCCUCGCCUGUUUACCAAAAACAUCGCCUCUUGCUAACUACACAUAAGAGGUCCUGCCUGCCCUGUGACCCCUGGUUCAACGGCCGCGGUAUUUUGACCGUGCAAAGGUAGCGCAAUCACUUGUCUCUUAAAUGAGGACCUGUAUGAAUGGCACAACGAGGGCUUAACUGUCUCCUUUUCCCGGUCAGUGAAAUUGAUCUUCCCGUGCAGAAGCGGGAAUCCUAACAUAAGACGAGAAGACCCUAUGGAGCUUUAGACUUUCGAACAGAUCAUGUAAGCUACCCCCAUGAAAUGGGUAAUAACUAUUGAAUUCCUGUUCUCCUGUCUUUGGUUGGGGCGACCACGGGGAAGAAAAAAACCCCCAUGUGGACCAGGAGCACAUUACUCCUACAACCAUGAGCCACAGCUCUAAUGCACAAAACCUUUGACCAUUAGAUCCGGCAAAGCCGAUCAACGGACCAAGUUACCCUAGGGAUAACAGCGCAAUCCCCUUUAAGAGUCCAUAUCGACAAGGGGGUUUACGACCUCGAUGUUGGAUCAAGACAUCCUAAUGGUGCAGCCGCUAUUAAGGGUUCGUUUGUUCAACGAUUAAAGUCCUACGUGAUCUGAGUUCAGACCGG
rnacentral:rRNA from 1 species